UCAGGAUGAACGCUAGCUACAGGCUUAACACAUGCAAGUCGAGGGGCAUCAGGAAGAAAGCUUGCUUUCUUUGCUGGCGACCGGCGCACGGGUGAGUAACACGUAUCCAACCUGCCCUUUACUCGGGGAUAGCCUUUCGAAAGAAAGAUUAAUACCCGAUAGCAUAAUGAUUCCGCAUGGUUUCAUUAUUAAAGGAUUCCGGUAAAGGAUGGGGAUGCGUUCCAUUAGGUUGUUGGUGAGGUAACGGCCCACCAAGCCUUCGAUGGAUAGGGGUUCUGAGAGGAAGGUCCCCCACAUUGGAACUGAGACACGGUCCAAACUCCUACGGGAGGCAGCAGUGAGGAAUAUUGGUCAAUGGGCGCUAGCCUGAACCAGCCAAGUAGCGUGAAGGAUGAAGGCUCUAUGGGUCGUAAACUUCUUUUAUAUAAGAAUAAAGUGCAGUAUGUAUACUGUUUUGUAUGUAUUAUAUGAAUAAGGAUCGGCUAACUCCGUGCCAGCAGCCGCGGUAAUACGGAGGAUCCGAGCGUUAUCCGGAUUUAUUGGGUUUAAAGGGAGCGUAGGUGGACUGGUAAGUCAGUUGUGAAAGUUUGCGGCUCAACCGUAAAAUUGCAGUUGAUACUGUCAGUCUUGAGUACAGUAGAGGUGGGCGGAAUUCGUGGUGUAGCGGUGAAAUGCUUAGAUAUCACGAAGAACUCCGAUUGCGAAGGCAGCUCACUGGACUGCAACUGACACUGAUGCUCGAAAGUGUGGGUAUCAAACAGGAUUAGAUACCCUGGUAGUCCACACAGUAAACGAUGAAUACUCGCUGUUUGCGAUAUACAGUAAGCGGCCAAGCGAAAGCAUUAAGUAUUCCACCUGGGGAGUACGCCGGCAACGGUGAAACUCAAAGGAAUUGACGGGGGCCCGCACAAGCGGAGGAACAUGUGGUUUAAUUCGAUGAUACGCGAGGAACCUUACCCGGGCUUAAAUUGCAGUGGAAUGAUGUGGAAACAUGUCAGUGAGCAAUCACCGCUGUGAAGGUGCUGCAUGGUUGUCGUCAGCUCGUGCCGUGAGGUGUCGGCUUAAGUGCCAUAACGAGCGCAACCCUUAUCUUUAGUUACUAACAGGUUAUGCUGAGGACUCUAGAGAGACUGCCGUCGUAAGAUGUGAGGAAGGUGGGGAUGACGUCAAAUCAGCACGGCCCUUACGUCCGGGGCUACACACGUGUUACAAUGGGGGGUACAGAAGGCAGCUAGCGGGUGACCGUAUGCUAAUCCCAAAAUCCUCUCUCAGUUCGGAUCGAAGUCUGCAACCCGACUUCGUGAAGCUGGAUUCGCUAGUAAUCGCGCAUCAGCCACGGCGCGGUGAAUACGUUCCCGGGCCUUGUACACACCGCCCGUCAAGCCAUGGGAGCCGGGGGUACCUGAAGUACGUAACCGCAAGGAUCGUCCUAGGGUAAAACU
rnacentral:rRNA from 1 species